rnacentral:rRNA from 1 species
UACGGGGGGUGCGAGCGUUGUCCGGAAUCACUGGGCGUAAAGGGCGCGUAGGCGGCCUUCUAAGUCGAACGUGAAAUCCCCGGGCUCAACCCGGGAACUGCGUCCGAUACUGGAAGGCUUGAAUCCGGGAGAGGGAUGCGGAAUUCCAGGUGUAGCGGUGAAAUGCGUAGAUAUCUGGAGGAAAACCGGUGGCGAAGGCGGCAUCCUGGACCGGCAUUGACGCUGAGGCGAGAAAGCCAGGGGAGCAAACGGG